rnacentral:sRNA from 1 species
GUGUUUUUCAUAGUAUUAGAUAUAAGAUUAAUUAAAGGAGACGUACCCGCUUGUGACAAGUAAGUACAUCAAAAACAGAAGCGUCUGUUUGAUUGAUAAAUGUGUAAGGAGCAUCGGUUUACCAGAGCCGAUGCUUUUUUUA